rnacentral:rRNA from 2 species
UAUAAUGCAAGUCGAGCGGACAGAAGGGAGCUUGCUCCCGGAUGUUAGCGGCGGACGGGUGAGUAACACGUGGGUAACCUGCCUGUAAGACUGGGAUAACUCCGGGAAACCGGAGCUAAUACCGGAUAGUUCCUUGAACCGCAUGGUUCAAGGAUGAAAGACGGUUUCGGCUGUCACUUACAGAUGGACCCGCGGCGCAUUAGCUAGUUGGUGGGGUAAUGGCUCACCAAGGCGACGAUGCGUAGCCGACCUGAGAGGGUGAUCGGCCACACUGGGACUGAGACACGGCCCAGACUCCUACGGGAGGCAGCAGUAGGGAAUCUUCCGCAAUGGACGAAAGUCUGACGGAGCAACGCCGCGUGAGUGAUGAAGGUUUUCGGAUCGUAAAGCUCUGUUGUUAGGGAAGAACAAGUGCGAGAGUAACUGCUCGCACCUUGACGGUACCUAACCAGAAAGCCACGGCUAACUACGUGCCAGCAGCCGCGGUAAUACGUAGGUGGCAAGCGUUGUCCGGAAUUAUUGGGCGUAAAGGGCUCGCAGGCGGUUUCUUAAGUCUGAUGUGAAAGCCCCCGGCUCAACCGGGGAGGGUCAUUGGAAACUGGGAAACUUGAGUGCAGAAGAGGAGAGUGGAAUUCCACGUGUAGCGGUGAAAUGCGUAGAGAUGUGGAGGAACACCAGUGGCGAAGGCGACUCUCUGGUCUGUAACUGACGCUGAGGAGCGAAAGCGUGGGGAGCGAACAGGAUUAGAUACCCUGGUAGUCCACGCCGUAAACGAUGAGUGCUAAGUGUUAGGGGGUUUCCGCCCCUUAGUGCUGCAGCUAACGCAUUAAGCACUCCGCCUGGGGAGUACGGUCGCAAGACUGAAACUCAAAGGAAUUG